rnacentral:rRNA from 1 species
AGUGAACGCUGGCGGUAGGCCUAGCACAUGCAAGUCGAACGGCAGCACAGUACGUGCUUGCUCUUACGGGUGGCGAGUGGCGGACGGGUGAGGAAUACAUCGGAAUCUACUUUUUCGUGGGGGUUAACGUAGGGAAACUUACUCUAAUACCGCAUACGACCUACGGUUGAAAGCAGUGGAUCUUCGCACCUUGCGCGAUUGUAUGAGCCGCUGGCGGAUUAGCUAGUUGGCGGGGUAAAGGCCCACCCAGGCGACGAUCCGUAGCUGGUCUGAGAGGAUGAUCAGGAACAGUGGAGCUGAGAAACGGACCAGAGACCAAGGGGAGGCAGAGGUGGGGAAAAUUGGAAAAUGGGGGCAAGACUGAACCAGGCAUACGGCGUGGGUGAAGAAGGCCUUCGGGUGGUAAAGCCCUUUUGUUGGGAAAGAAAAGCAGCAGGUUAAAACCCCGCUGAUCUGACGGGACCAAAAGAAUAAGCACCGGCAAACUUCGU